GACGAACGCUGGCGGCGUGCCUAAUACAUGCAAGUCGAGCGAUGAGGAUCGGUGCUUGCGCGGAUUUGAAGUGGAGAGAACGUGAGAGUAACGCGUGGGGACUCUGCCUUAGAGCGGGGGAAAACAUGGGAAAACGAAUGCUAAUACCGCAUAAGAACUUUAAACAUAGGGGGUAAGGGAGAAAGUUGGAAGUGCGGCACGUAAGGAUGAAUUCGCGGUGUAUUGGUGGGUUGGUGAGGUACAGGGUCACUCAGGCGUUGAUGGAUAGCCGGACUGAGAGGGUGACCGGCCACAUUGGGACUGAGAUACCGCCCAGACUCCUUCGGGAGGCAGGAGUGGGAGAUAUUGCACACUGGGCGGCAUCCUGAUGCAGCAACGCCGCGUGCGGGAUCACUGCCUUCGGGUUGUAACCCGCUUUCGCCUGUGACGAAGCGUGAGUGACGGUAAUGGGUAAAGAAGCACCGGCUAACUACGUG
rnacentral:rRNA from 1 species